AGAACGAACGCUGGCGGCAGGCCUAACACAUGCAAGUCGAACGCCCCGCAAGGGGAGUGGCAGACGGGUGAGUAACGCGUGGGAACGUGCCCUAAGGUACGGAACAACUCCGGGAAACUGGAGCUAAUACCGUAUGUGCCCGAGAGGGGAAAGAUUUAUCGCCUUGGGAUCGGCCCGCGUCUGAUUAGCUAGUUGGUAGGGUAACGGCCUACCAAGGCUACGAUCAGUAGCUGGUCUGAGAGGAUGACCAGCCACACUGGGACUGAGACACGGCCCAGACUCCUACGGGAGGCAGCAGUGGGGAAUAUUGGACAAUGGGCGAAAGCCUGAUCCAGCCAUGCCGCGUGAGUGAUGAAGGCCUUAGGGUUGUAAAGCUCUUUCGGUGGGGACGAUAAUGACGGUACCGCAGAAGAAGCCCGGCUAACUUCGUGCCAGCAGCCGC
rnacentral:rRNA from 1 species